UACGAAGGGUGCAAACGUUGCUCGGAAUUAUUGGGCGUAAAGCGCACGUAGGCGGCUCUGCAAGUCCCAUGUGAAAGCCCACGGCUCAACCGUGGAAGUGCAUGGGAAACUGCAAAGCUUGAGUACUUAUGAGGAUCGCGGAAUUCCCGGUGUAGAGGUGAAAUUCGUAGAGAUUGGGAAGAACACCGGUGGCGAAGGCGGCCAACUGGACCACAACUGACGCUGAGGAACGAAAGCUAGGGUAGCGAAAGGG
rnacentral:rRNA from 1 species